rnacentral:rRNA from 1 species
UGGGGAAUAUUGCACAAUGGGCGAAAGCCUGAUGCAGCAACGCCGCGUGAGUGAUGAAGGCCUUCGGGUUGUAAAGCUCUGUCUUCUGGGACGAUAAUGACGGUACCAGAGGAGGAAGCCACGGCUAACUACGUGCCAGCAGCCGCGGUAAUACGUAGGUGGCAAGCGUUGUCCGGAUUUACUGGGCGUAAAGGAUGCGUAGGCGGAUACUUAAGUCAGAUGUGAAAUUCCCGGGCUUAACUUGGGAACUGCAUUUGAAACUGGGUAUCUAGAGUGUGGGAGAGGAAAGUGGAAUUCCUAGUGUAGCGGUGAAAUGCGUAGAGAUUAGGAAGAACACCAGUGGCGAAGGCGACUUUCUGGACCAUAACUGACGCUGAGGCAUGAAAGCGUGGGGAGCAAACA